rnacentral:rRNA from 1 species
UAAAUCGGAGGAAGGUGCGGGCUACGGUAGGGUCAGUAUGCCCCCGAAUCUCCCGGGCUACACGCGGGCUACAAUGACUGGGACAAUGGGGCUCCUACCCCGAAAGGGGAUGGUAAUCUCAUAAACCCAGCCUUAGUUCGGAUCGAGGGCUGUAACCCGCCCUCCGUGAAGCUGGAAUCCGUAGUAAUCGCGUUUCAACAUAGCGCGGUGAAUACGUCCCUGCUCCUU